GAUGAACGCUGGCGGCGUGCCUAAUACAUGCAAGUCGAGCGAACAGACGAGGAGCUUGCUCCUUCGACGUUAGCGGCGGACGGGUGAGUAACACGUAGGUAACCUACCUAUAAGACUGGGAUAACUUCGGGAAACCGGAGCUAAUACCGGAUAAUAUUUCGAACCGCGUGGUUCGAUAGUGAAAGAUGGCUUUGCUAUCACUUAUAGAUGGACCUGCGCCGUAUUAGCUAGUUGGUAAGGUAACGGCUUACCAAGGCAACGAUACGUAGCCGACCUGAGAGGGUGAUCGGCCACACUGGAACUGAGACACGGUCCAGACUCCUACGGGAGGCAGCAGUAGGGAAUCUUCCGCAAUGGGCGAAAGCCUGUCGGAGCAACGCCGCGUGAGUGAUGAAGGUCUUCGGAUCGUAAAACUCUGUUAUUGGGGAAGAACAAACGUGUAAGUAACUGUGCACGUCUUGACGGUACCUAAUCAGAAAGCCACGGCUAACUACGUG
rnacentral:rRNA from 1 species